rnacentral:rRNA from 1 species
GAAUAUUGGACAAGGGGGGCAACCCUGAUCCAGCCAUGCCGCGUGUGUGAAGAAGGCCUUUUGGUUGUAAAGCACUUUAAGCAGUGAAGAAGACUCCAUGGUUAAUACCCCUGGACGAUGCCAUUAGCUGCAGAAUAAGCACCGGCUACCCAUGUGCCCGCAGCCGCGAUAAUACAGAGGGUGCAAGCGGUAAUCGGAAUUACUGGGCGUAAAGCGAGCGUAGGUGGCUUGAUAAGUCAGAUGUGAAAUCCCCGGGCUUAACCUGGGAACUGCAUCUGAUAAUGUUAGACUAGAAUAGGUGAGAGGAAGGUAGAAUUCCAGGUGUAGCGGUGAAAUGCGUAGAGAUCUGGAGGAAUACCGAUGGCGAAGGCAGCCUUCUGGCAUCAUAUUGACACUGAGGUUCGAAAGCGUGGGUAGCAAAC